UACGUAGGGCGCAAGCGUUGUCCGGAAUUAUUGGGCGUAAAGAGCUCGUAGGCGGUUUGUCGCGUCGAAUGUGAAAACCCGGGGCUCAACCCCGGGCCUGCAUUCGAUACGGGCAGACUAGAGUUCGGUAGGGAGUCGUGGAAUUCCUGGUGUAGCGGUGAAAUGCGCAGAUAUCAGGAGGAACACCGGUGGCGAAGGCGGGACGUCUGGGCCGAUACUGACGCUGAGGAGCGAAAGCGUGGGGAGCAAACAGG
rnacentral:rRNA from 1 species